CUUGGGAAUGGCAAGGAAACCGUUACCAUUACUGAGUUUAGUAAUGGUAACGGUUCUCUUGCUGUACCCAGA
ensembl:miRNA MIR451A microRNA 451a